rnacentral:rRNA from 1 species
UGAGGAAUAUUGGACAAUGGGCGCAAGCCUGAUCCAGCAAUGCCGCGUGUGUGAAGAAGGCCUUCGGGUUGUAAAGCACUUUUAUCAGGAGCGAAACGCUGUCGGCUAAUACCCGGCGGAACUGACGGUACCUGAGGAAUAAGCACCGGCUAACUUCGUGCCAGCAGCCGCGGUAAUACGAAGGGUGCGAGCGUUAAUCGGAAUUACUGGGCGUAAAGCGUGCGUAGGCGGUUUCUUAAGUCUGCUGUGAAAUCCCCGGGCUCAACCUGGGAAUGGCAGUGGAUACUGGGAGGCUAGAGUGUGUCAGAGGGUGGUGGAAUUCCCGGUGUAGCGGUGAAAUGCGUAGAGAUCGGGAGGAACAUCAGUGGCGAAGGCGGCCACCUGGGACAACACUGACGCUGAGGCACGAAAGCGUGGGGAGCAAACAGGAUUAGAUACCCUGGUAGUCCACGCCCUAAACGAUGCGAACUGGAUGUUGGUCUCAACUCGGAGAUCAGUGUCGAAGCUAACGCGUUAAGUUCGCCGCCUGGGGGAGUACGGUCGCAAGACUGAAACUUAAAUGAAUUGAC